GAGAGAGAGAGAGAGUUUUGGGAAGAUUUUAUAGAUAUGUAAGUAUUUAAAAUAGAGAGAGAGAUAUGGAUCGGGGAAGAGAGGUGAAGAUGGAUCAUUCAAGAGAGGGAAGUGAUAUAGAGAUAGAGGGAUCAUUUGGAGGAAAUACAGAGGACAAGGAAUUCAGUUCAUUGAGAGAGCCACUCCUCAGGAACAGGAAAAACAAUACUUCCCAGAUUGCCAUUGUUGGUGCCAAUGUUUGCCCCAUUGAGAGUCUGGAUUAUGAGAUUGUGGAGAAUGAACUUUUCAAACAAGACUGGAGGUCUAGAAAGAAGGUUGAGAUAUGUCAAUACAUUUUUCUCAAGUGGACAUUUGCCCUCCUUAUUGGGUUGGGUACAGGACUUGUUGGCUUUUUCAAUAACCUUGCUGUUGAGAACAUAGCUGGUUUCAAACUUCUGUUGACUAACAGUCUCAUGCUUAAGGACAAGUAUUAUCUGGCAUUUGCUUUAUACGCUGGUUGUAACCUGAUUCUGGCCAUUGCUGCUGCUGUCCUCUGUGCUUAUGUUGCUCCUGCAGCAGCAGGCUCAGGCAUUCCAGAGGUUAAAGCAUACCUGAAUGGUGUAGAUGCUCCAUCUAUUCUGGCUCCUACUACUCUUUUUGUAAAGAUUUUUGGAUCCAUUUUUGGAGUUGCUGCCGGAUUUGUUGUUGGUAAGGAAGGACCUAUGGUGCACACUGGUGCUUGCAUUGCCUCCUUGCUUGGACAGGGUGGUUCUCGUAAGUACCAUUUAACUUGGAAGUGGCUGAGAUAUUUCAAAAAUGACCGGGACCGUAGAGACUUGGUUACUUGUGGUGCUGCUGCUGGUGUGGCAGCUGCUUUUCGUGCUCCUGUUGGUGGUGUUCUUUUUGCCCUUGAAGAAGCUGCUUCAUGGUGGAGAAGUGCUCUUCUUUGGAGGACUUUCUUUACAACUGCUGUUGUUGCAGUGGUGUUGAGAGGCUUCAUAGAAUUUUGCCGGACUGGAGAAUGCGGAUUAUUUGGGCAAGGAGGUCUGAUUAUGUUUGAUGUAAGUUCAGCAAAAGCCACUUACAACACAGCUGAUCUUCUGGCAGUUGUAUUCCUUGGAGUGUUGGGGGGAAUUUUGGGAAGCUUUUACAAUUACUGCAUUGACAAGGUCCUCCGCACUUAUAGCAUCAUCAAUGAGAGGGGUCCUUCGUUCAAGAUCCUGCUUGUGAUCAUCAUUUCCUUUUUGACCUCAUGUUGCUCUUAUGGCCUCCCAUGGCUCGCACCAUGCAUUCCCUGUCCCACUCACCUGUCAGAGAUAUGCCCCACUGAAGGUCGUUCUGGAAACUACAAGAAUUUCCAGUGUCCACCAAACUACUACAAUGACCUUGCUUCCCUUUUUUUCAACACCAAUGACGAUGCGAUACGCAAUUUGUUAACAUCAAGCACUGAAAAGAAAUUUAAGCUCGCACCCCUUCUGGUUUUCUUUGUUGCUACUUAUGGCCUUGGCAUAAUUACUUAUGGCAUUGCUAUUCCUUCUGGACUUUUCAUCCCUGUCAUUCUUGCUGGGGCCUCUUAUGGUCGCCUCGUUGGAAACCUGCUUGGUCCCCUCUCAAGUCUUGAUGUUGCUCUUUUUGCCUUGCUUGGAGCUGCCUCUUUCCUUGGGGGCACCAUGAGGAUGACAGUUUCUCUCUGUGUCAUACUUCUUGAACUCACUAAUGAUCUGUUGAUGCUUCCAUUGAUGAUGCUCGUUCUCCUCAUUUCAAAAACUGUAGCAGACUGUUUCAACAGGGGUGUUUAUGAUCAAAUAGUGAAGCUGAAAGGAUUACCUUACAUGGAAGCUCAUGCAGAACCAUAUAUGAGGAAUUUAGUUGCAAGUGAUGUUGUAUCUGGCCCGUUAAUUGCAUUUUCUGGGGUAGAAAGGGUAGGGAACAUAUUACAUGCUUUGAAAAUAACAGGCCACAAUGGAUUCCCUGUGAUUGAUGAGCCACCUUUCACAGAAGCUCCAGAGCUAUGUGGACUUGUUCUAAGGUCUCACCUGCUUGUGUUGCUCAAGGGAAAGAAGUUUACUAAGGAGAGGGUGAUGACAGGAUCAGGCAUUUUGAGUAUGUUUAAAGCACAUGAUUUUGCAAAGGCAGGUUCAGGCAAGGGGGUCAAGCUCGAGGAUUUGGAAUUUUCAGAGGAGGAUAUGGAGAUGUAUGUGGAUCUCCAUCCCAUUACUAAUACAUCUCCGUACACUGUGGUUGAAACCAUGUCUCUAGCUAAAGCUGCUGUUCUCUUCCGGGAGCUUGGCCUGAGACACUUGUGUGUGGUACCUAAGACACCAGGGAGGCCUCCAAUUGUUGGAAUCCUUACCAGGCAUGAUUUCGUGCCAGAGCACAUAUUAGGCCUCUGCCCGCAUUUGAAACCCCACAAGUAAAGAAAGCAAAAAGUAAUUAGAUCAAUUGCUGACUUCUCCAUUAUUUGUCAUUGUGCCAUUAUCAAAAUGCUAUUACUUUGUUGUUGCCCAUUUCAAUUUCUGGAGUUCUUUUGGAUGCACCAUAAUGUAUUUGCUGCAUAUUAGUUAGUCAAAUUUUAUUCCUUCGCAAAAACUGUGUAUUUAUAUCAUCAAUUUUGGGUUAUUUGGUUUGACUAGAUUAAAA
rnacentral:misc_RNA from 1 species